ensembl:lncRNA
CAUCCUACCCACCAAGCAGGGGUCCUGCUGGGCCAGUACCUGGGAGCCUUCAGCCUCAUGGACACCUUCCGAGGACACAACAAGAAAGUGCAGUAGCCGGGACGAGGCGGUGGCUUCGUGGUGGGGGAGAAGUAGAGGCAGAUGGGGGGGAUCGUUGAAAGCAUGCCUUCCGUCUUCAGGGUUUUAGGUUUUAAUUGGCUUGCAAGCCGUUGGAAAAAACAGAAGUUGUUUUUUUUUAAUCAAGAAAGGUCCUUGACGUCUGUUUAAUAGGAUUGGAUCCAUCCUAAGUCGUUGUGUUUUUGAGUGUUCAUUCGUAGCGGCGGUGGCGCCUUGUUAGCUACGACGCCAUUAGCUGCCGUCUUCAUUCGGUUCGGAUGAAGAAUACUAACAAGGUUGUUAUUUUCACUUAAUUGAAAUGCAAAGUUUUUUUAAUUUUUUUUUUACACCAAUGUGAAUUGUGUUUGUUAAAAGAAAACCCGCAGUGGGUAACCAUUAGCGAAGGAGACCGCUGAAGGAUAAUGAACGAGGAUUCCUAGUCUUCCACUUGACACUUACCAGGAUCCCUCAUCCUAGUGCCUCCCAACAUUUCAAUGGGCUCCGACUUGAAGGAAAAUUAUCUAUAUUCGUAUUUUGACUUGUUGUAUUGGUAAGUCCCCGUGUUCCACAACUGUUGUGUCUUUAGAAUGUAUGCCUUUGUAAUCCAGUUAUGACCUCAGUCGUACGGUGCCGAAGAGAGGACCCCGUCGAAGGGUUCCUGUGGUACCUCCCGUUCGCUACGCUCCAAAGGGUUAGACGGUCGAGGUUGGUAUCGGCUAUACAAGAAGUGUUCAUGUGCAGAGAGAUUUGCCGAGAACAGAAGUAAAGGUGAAGUGAAACAGCAAAGCACACACCUCCACGCCCCUACUGAAGCAGUCCACGCCGUCCACCCCUCUGUCUGGGGACAGGGACAUUACAGCACAGACUGCUGCUGUAGCGCUCAACCCUGGGUGGGGGGGAAACCCAAACACUUCCUAUAGUCAAAAUACAGGUCAGUGUGAGCCCACCACGUUGGUGCUGUGUGAGACCGAAACCGGAAACUGAACUGUGGUUUGGUUUCAGGUACACAUCUAAAUGAAGGAGUUGUGACACUGCUGUUGCUUUUAAUUCAUAAUUUCAUGCCCUGUGGUGUAUUUCGUUUAGUUUAUCAAUAGUUUAUCAUUGAAAUCAUUCGGUUUGUCGACUUGGUCAUUUCGAUUUUGUCCCAUUUCACUCUCACAAAAUUGCCAACUUUUGUAUGUGCAUAUGUAUCAAUAACUUGCUCUAGUGUUAGAGACAUUUCAGCUCCCCUCACAUAUGGCAUGCCUAUGUAUGUUUAGAUUGAUCAGAUACCCAUGUACCAGAAUAGCCAGUAUUGUGCUUUUACUAUACUUUAGCCAAAAAUGUUGUUUGCUUAAUUUGAAGUGUCAAUCUGACUUUACAUUGCAAUAGUAUUACAAAGUAAUACUGACCAGUGAAGUGGCACUAGAAAUAGCCCGUUGCCAUGGAUGUAGUGCCUCUUUAUCGUUGUGGUCGUGUGGGACCGGUCCUACGGGACCAGUACAUUGCUGCCGGUGCACAGAAGGUCUGCUCAGCCAAACCAUCCGGUCGUUUACUUUGACCACCAAAGUAGUAUGGUUCUUAUAAUACCAUUAUUAUAUUCUCAACGUAUCCUCGCAUGUUUCCCCUUAAUCAAUGCUACAAGAAGCUAGCAUAGAGCCAACCGUUUGUAAUUGUAAUGUGUUCCCGGGAUGAAGGGGGGGUCAUUCAGUGGGCUGAUGUAGGAUAAGGGGCUGACUUGGUCCGUAUGCUUUGCACCCGCAUCGCAUUUGCACCGAGGACAUGUUUUAAUAAUCUCGCUCAGUUUUAUUACGUCCAGAGAGCUAGCUGUUGUAAAGCACAAGCUGUUAUAUCGUGUAUAAUGACUGGGGUCACUAAUGGACUGUUAUUAUGUAAAAUGAACCUGUAAUGUACACAUGAGUAAUAAAACAUAUCAACCAAUUAUA